AACCAAGUAGCAUAUAGCUAAAUUCUCAAGAUCUUUAAAAGGCAACGACUGGAGUCUCUGUUUAAUUCCAGGUGUACAGGGGAGAUACUGGAGUUUCUAGAAUGGUUUUCUUGACCCAAGUCUAAAUAUUUCAGAAACUGCAGAGACCACGUGUCAGGGAAAGAGUGUGCUAUGUUCUUGAAGGUCAAUUAAUUGAUCAGUGAGCAUUCAUUAGAUGCCUACUUUGUAGGAGUCAUGGGAGACAGCCUUUGCAGUGAUAUGUACAUGGGUAAUCAAGUAUCUUGUGUGAGGAAGAGGAAACAGGAAAACUUUGCUUCCUGAAGGCCCCUCUGGCCCCAGAUUUUGUAGAACACGACAAAUGCUCCCUCUGACAAGUGGGGUGCAGGAGCCUGCCUGCCAAAUCAGGAGCCAGACCUCUGACCUGCGUCUUCGGGAACGGCAAUGGCCAAGCCUUCUAUUCAAGUCCCAGCCCAGGCUGGGGUUUCCAGCCUGACCUUUGCUCCCCUGCAGGGUCGCCGUGGCUCAAUCCCCAGCCUGGAAGCUCUCUACCCCACGAGUUUCCCUGCCUCCCCCUGGGAUUCAUGCUCUAACGCCCUCCUGGCCGGCAUUCUCUAACACCCGAGCCUUUGGCAUUGACGUGCCCCUGUGCCCCUGGCCACAGCAAUGCUCUUCCUACUGGCUCCAGCCCCGAGCCUCUGGGGAGGCCUUGGCACGCUUGUUCGCAUCAUGCCCUCCCUAUUUGCCAGGAACUGAUGAGGUAAAAGAAGUCAUAAAGGCCGGCCGUCAUGCGGAAAGAACUCACAGGCUCAGGCGCCGCAGAUUCAAGGGGCAAAACGUUUUAUUAUGAUGCCAUAAAUCAGGCACAGUGCCCUAGUGGGACUCACAUUUAGUAAGGAGGAAGUUGGGACCUUUUGUGAGAAAAGACUCAACGCUGGGGUACACUGAAGAUCGGGGGUGCUGGGCAAUGGUUUCUGGUAGCUUCUCUGAAAGAAGUCAGGCUCAAACCACCUCAAAUCAAGCAAAGACACUGAUUUGGCCAUUUGCUUAAGUAAAGGGUAAACCACACUGGGAACCUCCUCUUUAAGGGGGUGGGGACACCCAGCAGAGUGAUGUGAGGGUUUAUUCAGAGAAGGGAAAGGAAGCAAAAAAUAGGAGAAUUUGGCAGCAAGUUGGAUGAGCUCAGUAGAUUUUGCACUUCUUUUACAAUCCCAGGUCGGGCAUGCAUGAGCAAGGUCCCUGUGAAAAGGGUAAAAACCCUUUUGUUCCGGAGCGGGGGCAGCACCUUAUACAUGGAAAAAGCAAAGGGUCCUUUUAUUCCAAUGAAGUCUCUGAGAGAAAGUGGUAGAACUGCUGGGGCUGCGGCAGCAGCAAACACUCCAUGAUUCCCCUCAAAGACCUGUGACCCAAAUCCCUUUGGGGCCAGGAAUGAAUGUCUCAUUUUCCAUAACUGUUUCCAGCUGAUAAGGGGCAUAGACCUGCUCCUGCUUAAAGGCUUAGUCAUGAGUGAGUGGAGCUGGAUGGGAAUUGCAGCCCAGCACCUUCCACAGGUGGGAGGAGCAGCAUCCACAGGUGGGAGGAGCAGCAUCCACAGGUGGGAGGAGCAGCAUCCACAGGUGGGAGGAGCAGCAUCCACAGGUGGGAGGAGCAGCAUCCACAGGUGGGAGGAGCAGCAUCCACAGGUGGGAGGAGCAGCAUCCACAGGUGGGAGGAGCAGCUUUCACAGGUGGGAGGAGCAGCAUCCAAAGGCUGAGGUGCUGACAGAUAGCUGUCCUGUAGGGCCCUCUGAAAUCUGAUUAACACUUGUCUGAAAGACACAAAACUUAUUAAAAUGCAAGGACUAAAUCAAAAACAAAAUAUUAAUUAGGAAAGCAUCACUAGAGAGGACAGUAAAUUCCCCCGGAGCUUGUCCCCAAACCCUUUGAAUGUAGCUGCUGAGGAAGGUCAAGUAUCCCACUGACCUUCUUGAGGAUCGGUCAGCCCAUAGUGCAAUUUGUUGGAGGGGUGGAUGACAACGCACCAGGAAGUAUUGGCCAGAGCACAGAGACCCCCUUCAGAAGCAAAGAGGUGGUCUAAAGUGAAGCAGGAAAAAUUGGAACAAAAGGUUUUGUAGUUGUCAAUGCUGAAAAAUUUCCCAUGCAUAUAUCUUGUAAAUAAAAAGCUAUCAUGGAAAAAAAAAAAAAAGAA